rnacentral:lncRNA from 1 species
UCCUUUUACAAAACAACAUUAGGUCGUCUUCUCUACGACUCUUCUUCUUCUCCGCAACUCUUCUUCUCGUUGUUUGUUUCUCAGCGCUGAACCAAGUUCUUCUUAUAGCUUGUUUGUUUCUCCGCUGAACCAAGUACUUCUUAUCGCUUGUUUUCAUUUAUGCGUCGUCUCUUUGAAAGAAUAGUUAAGUAUUUCAGUAAAAAUGGUGAAGGACACAAAUAGUAAUGCAGUGGUGGUGUUGAACCUUGUCUAUGAUUCAUGUACGAAAGAAGUAAUGUAUGCCUACACUGAUAAGUGUUUCGUAGACAUACUAUUAAGUUACUUAACACUGCCGCUUGAAACGAUAGCUACACUUGUUCAAUAGGAAGAAAGUUCUGUUAUUGGAAAACUAGAUCUCGGUUGUGUUACACAGAUACAUAAAUCUUUGGAAAAUCUAACUGAUACUCAUCUCUGCAACAGAGCUGAUGCAAAACAAGUAUUAUUGCAUCCGGUAAAUGUUUCUGAUGUAUUUGUUAAUGGUGGAUGCUAUUACAUAAUAAAGGACGACUUGACAGUACUCCCUUUUUCUCCGGAUACAUUCUCUGUCAGACUCUUGAAAGAGAAAUGCCAAACAAGCACACACGUUCGUUGAAGGAACAAGAAUUAAAGUUUACUAAGACUGAGGUUUACAAUUACUUACCAAAUUGUGUGUAUUUUGUUCCCCUAUUUCUAUAGUUUAAAACUUAUUUUUGACUGUUUAUUCUUUUUUUCUUUAUUACACAAAUGAAUGAUUUUUUCAAAUGUUGCUUGUUGUCAAAAUCUCCUUUGACAACUUUUUUUAAAAGAUCUCUUAGACAAAGUAUACAUGAACAUGUUCAUGCAGCUUGCGAAUAUGAAUAUGAUUUUGAAAAGGAUAUGAGUAUGCCAUUAAAACUGUUAUUGAAUAAAUCUAAUGGAUCAAUCAUUCUCGCGAAUGCUACUCAAGACUUUGCUGAGAUGUUGGUUAGCUUCCUGACCUUUCCCUUGGGUAGUGUUGUGAAAAAAUUAGAAUGUAAUACUGGUUUAGGGAGCAUAGAUACACUUUACAAAAAUGUAUUUAACUUAGAUGAAGAGAUGUGCCUAUCGUCAAAGAGUGACAUGAAUUAUCUGGUUGACCCUCUUGUGGCACAUAACUGGCUUUCUGACAUCCUACUUUUACAUAGAAGAAAACCAGAGUUGUUUGUUCAGAAAACACAGAAAACAGCAACCGUAUUUUAAAAGGGCCAAGCAUGUAUUUAGUGCAUCCAAAUUUUAAUGUUUAGUGUAUUGAAGCCAACAGUUCAAGAUUUAACUUCGUCACUUGGCCGUUAUGAUGUCAAUUCUCUAACUGAAAAAGUUAUAUCUAUCGGCAUGAGAGAGGUACUUCAAGUUAACCUUUUAGAUUUAUAAUAUUGAAUGUCACCCUAUUCAAAAACAUAAUUCAUUUUCUAGAUCGUUGUAGUGCCUUCAAAUGUUGAAGGCGUCGUCGACUUCGUCAAAUGCUUUGGAAGAUGGCCUUCGUCACUUUCUAAGAGAAGUUGAGGUGGUAAGCAUUGAAAUUCCUUUUUGCCACUUUUGUUAUAACCUGGCUUGGGUGGCUUGCUUGAUUAUACUAUUGAUAAGAGGUAAAGGUAUUGGCUUGGGUGGCUUGCUUGAUUAUAAUGUUGACAAGAGGUAAAGGUAUUUUGAAAGAGUCUGAAAAAGUUCUAAGAAUAGAGUUGAAGUUGACAAAUUAUAUCAAAUGGUGACAUUCUUUAUGUGUAUUGAACUUGAGAAAAUAGUGGUAAUUAUAAGUAUAUGAUGAACAUGUUGAUUUCAUUUUGAUGUUUUCUUAUAUUUUUUUGUAAGAGCAUUGAUAUAUCUAUUUUUAAAAUUUUAACAAAGUUGUUUUAGACAUAUUUCUGAUGCUGAUGUAGAAAAGUUAAGAGUGAAAGAGGUUAGUGGCGCUAAAAUGUGUUUUUUAAGUUAUGUGUUACUAUGUAUAAUCCUUAUACUUAUUCGACGUUGUUGAUUGAUGGAGGACCAAUAAGACGUUAGAUAUAUAUAUUUAGAACAACAAUUGUAGGUAUUUUAGUGUUUACUCUUAAAUAUAUAUUCAGUUCAAUCAGGUGGGCUUUAUUGUUAGAAUUGAACUCAUGAUCAUAUCAGUUUGUGUUCUGCUUCAACUAGACUGAAUCGUAGAAUAUUUUGAUGUUUGAAUAUUUGAUUUUUUUCUCCUUUUUCUCUGACGCAGGCUUAUGCUGGUCUUUUCAAUUUGGGAAAUACCUGUUAUAUGAAUUUGACAUUGCAAUGCCUCCAUUCUAUGCCAGAAUUGAAGUUGGCUUUAAUGAAGUAAAUAUUUUUUAAGGAGUCAAAUUUGUUGCCUUUGUAGCUGAUAUAUUACUUAACAAUGUUUGAACUUUGUUGGGAUCAGGUACUCAGAUGCAGGACGAAACAAUGAUGUUGAUGAGACUUGUCAUAACUUGACCAUUGCAAUUUGUCACUUAUUCACUAAGCUUGAUGAAAGUGCCAAGCCUGUGACACCUACGCAAUUUUGGAUGGUACAUUAUCUAGUGUCCAUAAUUUAUCAAUUUUGGAUGACUCAUUUUUAAUGAUUGAUUACUGUUUGACUUUUGUAUCACAUAUAAAGAAAUGGUAUAGUCCUUCCUGAUUUGCCUCUGUAUUUGACAGGUAUUGCAGGAAAAGUAUCCUCAAUUUAACCAGCUGCAUAAUGGAGUGUUCAUGCAACAGGUUCGUAAGUUGAACGCCAACAUUUACUUAUUAGUUUCAUUGUUGUUGCUGUAGUGAAUUUAUAUUCCUUCCUAUUUAACUCUUCCUGUCUAACAGGAUGUUGAAGAAUGUUGGACACAACUUCUAUUCACACUUUCACAAUCUCUAAGAUACCUUAGAUCUAGGCAACUAACUUUCUCCGUAUUUCUUUGUAUAAAGAUGCAGUUGUUGCAGUAUCUUGUGACUUCUCAAUUCUCACUUCUUGACGUCUUCUAGAUAUGAUAAAUUCUCAGGAUUUAUUGCCAAUAGAGCAACGAAGAAAGCUCUAAUACAGAAUAUGUUUAUUCACUUAAAUGCCACAAAUCUCAAGAGGUAAAAAAUCUGCAUGAAGGGCUAAAAUAAGUAAGUGCUAAAGCUAAUAUAUUCCAAAUACCGAUAGUGCAUGCAGUAAUGUUUCGACAUAUUUUCUUUUUUGUGUAAUGAAGAAAUUUUAUUAACUUAACUACUGAUUUUGAUAGGGUUUAAAAUCAGAGUUGGAAAAAGCUUCUGCUGCUUUGGGUCAUAAUGCUCUUUUUUCAAAAGAAUCACAAAUCAAUGCCCUGCCGAGGUUAUUUCAGUUGGAAGUUGGAACACAUCAUCAUACUCAUAAUUAAAAUAUUUGUCCUAUUUUUUAUUUCAAAUAAUAGGCCUCAUGGUGGUUCAUAUGAAGAAAAUCUUGUAUUUCUUUCUUGUGUUUCUAUUUCAACUUUUUAGGUACUUGACUGUUCAGUUUGUCCGUUUAAUUUGGAAUAGGGAAUCAAACCAAAAGAUCAAGAUUUUGCAAGUAAUGCUUACUAAUUUCUUUUUAUUUGCUUUCUCAAUUUAUUUAUUAUUUUAUUACAUAAUAAAUAAUAAUACAAUUGUGGUUGGUUAUGUCACAGAAAGUAGAUUUUCCUGUGGAGUUGGAUGUUUAUGAUAUUUGUUCUGAUGAUCUUAAAAAGAAAUUGGAAGCUCGUAGACAGGUAUUUGUGCAUUUGACAGAUUUGACAAAUGCACGAAUAUAAUGAAUGAUCGCUUAUAUUAUUUUAUUACAUAAUAAAUAAUAAUACAAUUGUGGUUGGUUAUGUCACAGAAAGUAGAUUUUCCUGUGGAGUUGGAUGUUUAUGAUAUUUGUUCUGAUGAUCUUAAAAAGAAAUUGGAAGCUCGUAGACAGGUAUUUGUGCAUUUGACAGAUUUGACAAAUGCACGAAUAUAAUGAAUGAUCGCUUAUACUUUGUUGUUGUUAAUUUAGGGAUCGUCAAAUGACAAUGAGUGGAGUUUAUGAUUUGGUUGCUGUAUUGACCCACAAAGGUGUGAGUGCUGAUUCAUGACAUUAGGUUGGUUGAGUUAAGCAAAAAAAUGGUUGGUUGGUUCUAAUUGGAAAUAAACUUGUGACUAUUAAUCCCAUUAAUAAUAAUAAUACAUACAUACAUACAUACAUACAUAUAUACAUAUAUACAUACAUACUAUUGUCAUACAUACAUACAUAUUAUUGUCAUACAUACAUACAUACAUACAUACAUACAUAUAUACUAUUGUCAUACAUACAUACAUAUAUACUAUUGUCAUACAUACAUACAUACAUAUAUACAUACUAUUGUCAUACAUACAUACAUAUUAUUGUCAUACAUACAUACAUACAUGCUAUUGUCAUACAUAUAUGCUAUUGUCAUACAUUCAUACAUACAUACAUACAUACAUACAUACAUACUAUUGUUAUACAUACAUACUAUUGUCAUACAUACAUACAUACAUACUAUUGUCAUACAUAUAUACAUACAUACUAUUGUCAUAAAUACGUACAUACAUACAUACAUAAGCCUGAGUCUGACCUAUUUAAAUAAAUAGAAUUUAAAAAUGGCCUAAGCCUAGCGUUUUUAUUAAAUUGACCAGGCCAUGCCAUAAGUAGGCGAUGUCAUAGGUCCUUGACGGACGGCCUAGCCUAUUCUCAUCCCUAUUUGCCACAUUAAAACUUUAUUUCAAUAUCAUUUAUUUAUUAUUUAAGGUAUUAAAAAAAUAAAGAAUUAAAUUGUAAGUACGAAUAUAAUAAUAAUAAUACAUACAUACAUACAUACAUACAUACAUACAUACAUACAUACAUACAUACAUACAUACAUACAUACAUACAUACAUACAUACAUUUGUCAUACAUACAUACUAUUCUCAACAGGGAAAUGGAUAGAGUUUGAUGAUGACAAUCCAAGACCUAGAGUACAAAACGAUAUUACUAGACUAUCUGGAGGAGGUGAGAAUGAAUAAAUAUACUACUCAAUGUUGUAUAUGAUGAUGAUAUGCUUAAAAAUGUUGAAUCAUGUUUUUUGUGUUUAGGUGAUUCGCAUAUGGCAUAUAUAAUCAUGUACAAGGCUCGUGAUGUCUGAUCUCUUCUAAUGGGUUACCUUUGAUUAGUUAAAGGAUUCAUUAUAAAAAGAAUGAAUAGAAUAGUCAACAGGUGGGUCAUUGUUUUUAUUUUACACCUUAGAUGAAUGCUGGUUAGUUAGAUACUCUUAUUUGUUUAAUGUAGAAAAAGCAAGAUACGUUAAAUUGCACCAAACUCAAUCAUAGACAUGCUAGAAUUGGUACUUGAAGACAGUACAUAUGAUGAGUUCAUGUAAAAAUGCACUAUAUUCCUAACGUAGAUACAAUAGAUCUACAAGAAUAUAUUGAAUGCAAUACACCUUCAAUGAAACUAACAGCAAGACCAAACUUAGUGAUACCGUGAAUCAACCAUCCUUUGUCAAAUCAAAAAUAGGAACAACUUGGAUGUUUAUUUUGCCAUGGCCGAACCAAAAGCUUGAUCAGCUGUGGUCAUCUACACCCACGCUAUAGCAAGCUAGCACUGCAUUGCUACCUCCCACAAUUCUUCUAAAUUUGUUAUCUUGAUUAAAACCUUACUCUUAGCAAAUUCCAAGAAUACAAUUUUACAAAUUCUACUAUCUCUUCUAUUGAUGAUUCUUUAUUUUAUUUUUUAUCAUGUGCUUUCGAAAAUUAUCCAUAUGCAUNNNNNNNNNNNNNNNUUGGCAACCAUCACUAAAAGUUUUGAAGACGUUCUAUAGUGACAUUUGGAAGUAUUACUCAUUACGUCUAGCCACUCUGCCAUCUCACACCACACUCUAGAGAAGAAUUGACAUUUGAAAAACAAAUAGUUUGCCAUUUUAAUUCUCUCAUUACGCCUCACUCCUUUGUCCUCCGUAGGAAUUUGAAAUUAUUCAAUGUCUUUCUCCCAACACACUUUAUCCCAUUUUACCUAGUAUACUUUUUUCGCUUUCUCAAUCCCUCCCUACAAAAAUUGUUUAAAUAAAGAUUUAGCUUUAAAAUUAGGUCUAAUGGAGUGUUGAAGAAGGACAAAUAGAAGACAAAGAGCCUAGAGAGAACAUAGCGCAACUUGACAAUUUAAUAUCUUAUUGAAAUAUUCUUACUCUUUCAAGACAAUAAUAUAUUUCUCACCUUCAACAAAAUUGUUUCUCAAGUCUUCUUACUUCAGGGAUUUUCCCGUAUAGGUAAACCUAAAUAAAUGAAUGGGAAUUUUCCAACUUAAUAAUUUAACAACUUUGCAAAGUCUAGUAACAAAUCUCCAAUACAUUUACACGCAUCAAACUACUUUUAUGAAAAUUGACCUUCAACUUUGAUAAUUGCUUGCACAUUUUUCCACCUUUUGCACUCCAUACAAUUGUGUGGUAUCAACAAACAGUGAGUGUAAGACAUGUUGAUUAUGAUUUCUAAAUCUAUACCCUACAUUUUUUUUUCUUUCUAAUACCACUACUUUUUCAUCAUGGCAUCUAAACCUUCAGUUGGGACGAGGAAGAGAAAAGGUGACAAAAGUCGCUCAACUCCUUUUCCAUAAUAAAGUGCUUUGUCGGACUUCCAUUGACCAACACAAAAAUUAUUAAUGUGUUCAAACAUUCCUUUAUCCAUUUCCUCAAUUAAUCACAAAAAUCCAUUAGAUUGUUCUCCCUAUCUUGUCUUGAACUUUUCCUCUCAGCCACAACGACCAAUCGCGCUUCUUGGUCUUGAUCCCUUAGACUAUGUCUGCUUCUUAUAUUUUUUAUUUUUCAGGUUCUUACUAUUUUCUUCUUCCUACUAAAUUAAUUUCUCUCUAUAAAUAGAUAAACUAUGUAAUAUGAAAUGAUAAAUCAACUGAUAUCAAACAAACUCUAGCACUCUAAUUAGCAACUCAACUACUACCUAUUACCAAACUAUAACAAACUUUUAUAUGUUAUGUUAAUAAUUGAUAUAUGAUAUGUUGUGAUACUAUUUGUUAAUUGUAAAUUUUAUAGUUAAUUUGUGAACUUUAUGAUAAAACUCUUUUAGCAUAUUAUAUUGUUUUAGUUAAUUUGUAAAUGUCUCUUUUCACAUAUUAUAUUUUUAUUUUGAAUUGAUGUUAUGUUGAAUCUUUGAUAAAACACUUUUACGAAUUUCAAUUGUAAUAUUUUAAUUAAUAUUUGUCGCUCUCCCAAUAUUUUGGACAAGAUCCGCCACUGGUUGUAUGUAACUCCAAUACACAAAAUCACAUGUUUUCUCAAAAUCAACAUUUGCCUAAGGGGAACGGUUAAUGCUUACCAAAGGGGGGUUAAAAAUAGCUGAAUUGGAGGUAAAUGUGUCUACUGUUACUCUACAAAUCUAUCUUUUAUAUUGAUUAUGAAUAAAUGGUGAGAAUGACUCUUAAUCUCUUAAUUCCUAUUUUGAUUUUUAUGCCUACUUGGAAUUCCACCCCAUCCCCUUCAAAUCUGCAUAGUAACCAAAACAAAAAAUGAAAGAAAUAGAGACAAUGAGAAAGUGCAACAAAAAAAAAAAACAUAACCUGCUCAACUUGUGACUCAAUUUAUUUUAUGAGUUUUAAGAGUUCCAUGCCAGUUCUCAUUUAUCUCAGUAUUAUUUGAAUCAUUUUCUAUAUGUCUGUCCAUACUCCAUCAAAUACUCUUCUUAUGUUGGCAUUAAUAAGAGACAAUGCCUCUCACAAUCUUUAAUCUUUCUUCCAUUAUUCUUGGAUGCUGCACUUGAAACUAUAAUAGCGGUAUAAUGUAUUUUGCAUCCUUCUGACUCAUUUUGUAGUUACAUUAUAUUACUAUAUACAUUGUAGUCAGUCUUCAUGCACUUGACAACUAUGUAGAGAUCAGAUGUUAAUACAUAGUCUGGGAAUUAGUUUGAUACUUGCAUUUUUAUUUUGAGUGCUUGAUCUUAUUUAAGUUUAAUUUUAAGUACUUAAUCCCUAAGAUUUAGAGGGUUAAAAAAAAUCUUGAAUAUGUGUGAAGAAGUAUGUUGAAAUUGAGUUUAAUAUGAUAAAAUGAUUUUUCAUCAUCUCAAUUGAAGCAAAGAGCGUCCAAUAUAUAUGAGAUAAAUUUAUUAUUGUCUCCCUUAUCUUUUAUCUUUCACCUUGUCAAAGCAUAUGAAAAAGACUUUUUACCUUUUUUACCCUCUACUAUUUGAUAGUAAACAUUUCUGAAGUUAUUAACAUUUUGAUAAUUUUAAAUUUUCGAUUUUUUUAAAGAGUUCUAGAAAAAUUGCAUUUCGAAAACUGUGUUCAUCCAAAUUCUUGAUUGUUUUUUUCUUAAUUUUUAAAAAAAUUGCAUUUUAGAAGUUUCACAUUUGUUCAAAUUUUUCAAAUUUUUCAAAUUUUAUUAAACUUUUGAAAAAAAAUACAUUUCAGAAGUUUCACAUUCAUUCAAAAUUUUGAAUUUUUUUAAAACUUUUAAAAAAAUUGCAUUUAAAAAGUUUCAUAUGUAUCAAAAGUUUCGAUCUUUUUUUAAACUUUUGAAAAAAUUACAUUUCAAACGUUUCACAUUAUUUCAAAGUUUCAAACUUCUUUUAAACUUUUAGAAAUUUUUUACUAUCAAGUAGUUUAAGGUAAAAUUAUCUUGUCAUGUGUUUUAAAGGAGUGAGUAAAUGUGAGAUGGUGGAUGAUAACUUUCUCUAUAUAUGAGGAAUUAUUAAGUGAGAGGAGUUUUCACAUGAGAUAGUGAAAUAAUUAAAUUUUAAUCAUACAAUCAUACAUAGCUGACUGUGAUAGAAAGUAUCGUAUAGUCACUUAAAAAAGUCACAUGACUUUUUGUUUUAAUUUUAACUAUUCAUGACUUGAUCAAUGACUAAGAUUUAUCCUUUUUACAUUCUCAUUUUAAAACUCAUCCCAUUUGAUAUGUUUCCUAUAUAUAUAUACUUAUAUAUUUUUCUAGGCAACAAACUUUAAAUCGCCAAAAGAUGAUAGACGUUCCUCUGAGUCUAGUUAUUGGCCUGAGGAUCAUGGAACAAUAUCACUAAAAACAAUUUAUAUAUUUUUUUGAACUUCUAAGUUUGAUGUAGUUGUUUUGUAUGUUUAGCCACUUCAAAAUAUUUUGGUUUUAUAAUGUUCAAAUUACUUUAUUUAUUCGUUUAAUUAAGUUCUAGUAUAGAGGUCGUUAGUUUUGAAUAUAUUAUAUGAAUGAGAUUUAGCCAUUUACAAUUAAAUAUUUAUAUAUCUUAAUUAUAUGAAUGAUAUUUUUAAAUAUUAUUCAAAUUAAUUUAAAAUUAAUUGUUAUUUAAUAAGUUAUUAAAAUAAAUUUAAUGAAACUUGAAAAACCAAGUCAGCAAUUGGACAAGAGAUUUUAACGGCAAUAGUGCCUAAUUCUUAGCUUCUAACGGCUGCAUUACAUAUGGAUCAUUAAUCUUUAAGUUUACUUUUUAGAUAUUCAACAAAUACAGUAUUCACUUGUACCUACUUCUAUCUAAUUACUCUAAAAGUCAAUUUCCAAGUAAAACUUACAUCAGCUUCUCCUUCUCUUAAAAUAAGGUCAUGGCAAGAACUAAAGUCAAUUUGUGCAGCCUUAGCCCCUAUAAGCUGUGAAUGUUUUUAAUCAACUUUAUCAUUUUUGGUGGCUUAAGUCCUCACAAAUUUGUGGCGGACUGUGUCACAAAUUUGUGAGGGCUUAAGCUUUCACAAAUGAUAAUAAAAAAACCAACUUUUGUGGUCGUUUUUGCCGCCACAAAAAUUUGUGAAAUUUGUGAUGUGAUGGGGUUAUUUGUGAGUGUCUUAGGCCGCUUCAAAUGUGUCUGUUGUAGUUGUUUUUCUCCCUUUGUGAGGGCUAUUGGCUGCCACAAAAUCUGAGUUUUCUUGUAGUGAUAAACCUAUUGGAAUAAGUUGAUAUUGUUGGGUUUUUGGCUCCCUUCCUAUGUGGAGAAAGGCCCAAUAUGUGCAAGCCCAUGUGUCUCACUUAACCAAGUGAAGAGAGGUCAGAUUAGUGAGAGAGAGAGAGCUGAAAUCAGAGAGUGAGGCAAAGAGAAAAGCGAGAGAGGAAGAGCAAAAUCCAUUUUCGCAUAAAAUAGAGCAGCUGCACUAGAUUCACGAUUUCUCCUUCGUUCACCGUUGGAUCGGGCUGCAAUUUGGACAGCAGGUUCGUGACUCAUGGUACUUCCAUCUAACUGGUUGGAUCGUCGAUCGGAGGUCUGAGGUGGGAGAUAUUGAGCUCGUACAGUAGCAGUAUUUCCUGGUUUUUCUGCUGAACUUUGUUCUCAAUUUCAUGUUUGUUUUCUCAUUGUUUUGGCUGAUUGUUGUGCUGGUUACCUUGCUAUUUUUUGGCUGGUUACUGAGCACGAAUUUGUACCAUAUUUGAAACUCUCAUGUACCCAUAUUGUGUCCUUUGUGGUAGUGAUUUUAGUUGCUGUGAUUAUUUGUUGUUGCUCCUCACAGAUUCUUGCAAGUUUGGGAAAUUGAUUAUCCGCUGCAUAUUGCUCUGUUAGAGUUGUUAUUGUUAUUUGUUGUUGAAUUUCCCAUCAGAGUGGCAUCAGAGCUCUUUGGUUAAGGGGCUGUUUGACUUGUUUGAAUGAUGGAGGCAAAUAAAAAUAGAAUGAUUUGUUUGAAUGACACUAAUUAUCACUUAUGGAAGGGAAAAAUGAAGGAUCUGUUAUUUGUGAAGAAUUUGCAUCUUCCUGUGUUUGCUAGUGAGAAGCCAGAAUCCAAGACUGAUGAGGAUUGGAGUUUUGAACAUCAGCAGGUUUGUGGUUUUAUUCGGCAAUAUGUAGAAGACAAUGUUUAUAAUCACAUUGCUAAUGAGGAACAUGCAAGAUCCUUGUGGAAGAAGAUUGAAUCUUUGUAUGCUUCUAAAUCAGGGAAUAAUAAGUUGUAUUUGUUGAACUCCUUGAUGAAUUUGAGGUACAAGGAGGGGACUUCUAUUUCAGAUCACUUAAAUGAUUUUCAAGGGCUCCUAGAUCAAUUGUCAGGUAUGGGUAUCAAAUUUGAUGAUGAAGUGUUGGGACUAUGGCUACUGAAUACUCUACCAGAUUCUUGGGAAAUGUUUCGGGUUUCAAUUACAAACUCAGCUUCUGAUGGUGUUGUCUCUUUGCAAAGUGUAAAGGGAAGUGUUCUUAAUGAGGAGAUGAGAAGGAAGGCACAAGGUACUUCAUCUCAUUCUGAGGUACUUGUCACUGAGAACAGGGGCCAUAGCCAAAGAAAGGAACCGAAAGGGAACAGACAGAAUAACAGAAGUGCGAGUAGAGAGAACAACAGAAGUAAGUCCAAGUCCAGAUACAAGAAUGUGGAGUGCAAUUAUUGUCACAAAAUGGGGCACAUACAGAGGAACUGUUUCAUAUGGAAAAGGGAGAGCAAAAACAAUAACAGUAAGCAGAGAGAUAAGAAUCAUGAUGAUGAUGACCGUGUUACUACUGCUACUUGUGAUGAUCUGAUUAUUCUCCGUGACUAUGACUCAGUCAAUCUUGUAUCAGAUGAGAGCAUCUGGAUUAUUUAUAGUGGUGCUACAUUGCAUGUUACACCAAAGAAGGAGUUCUUCACAUCUUACACUUCUAGUGACUUUGGAGUGUUGAACAUGGGUAAUGAUGGUGAGUCUAAGGUAGUUGGUAUUGGUGAUGUUUGUUUGCAAACCAACAUGGGAGUACAGUUGUUGCUUAGAGGAGUCAAACAUGCUCCAGAUGUUCGCUUUAAUUUGAUCUCUGUGCAGAUGCUUGAUGAUGGUGGUUAUGAUAAUCACUUUGGUUCAGGAAAAUGGAAACUCACCAGAGGUAACUUAGUUGUGGCCAGAGGGGAGAAAAUUAAUAAACUGUAUUGGACUAAAGCAUUGGUUGCUAAAGACAGUGUGAAUGCCAUGGAUAUGGAGGCUUCUUUGUGGCACCGCAGGCUUAGUCAUAUCAGUGAAAAGGGGCUGAAUUUUUUAGCUAAAAAGGAUUUACUUCCGGGAUUAAAGAGUUCAGAGUUGGAGAAAUGUUCUCAUUGCAUGGCUCGUAAGCAGACUAGAGUAUCCUUCAAGAAACAUCCUCCCUCAAGGAAGUCAGAGUUGCUUGAAUUGGUGCAUUCUGAUGUUUGUGUCCCGUUGAAGGUAAAGUCAUUUAGUGAUGCACUUUACUUUGUUACUUUUAUUGAUGAUUGUUCCAGGAAGCUUUGGGUCUAUGCUUUGAAGACAAAAGACCAAGUUCUGGAGAAAUUCAAAGAGUUCCAUGUUAUGGUGGAGAGACAGUCAGGCAAGAAGUUCAAAUGCAUUCGUACUGACAAUUGUGGUGAGUAUUGUGGACCAUUUGAUGUUUAUUGCAAGCAGCACGGUAUCAAACAUGAAAAGACUCACAUGAAAAGACUCCUCCUAAAACUCCUCAGCUGAAUGGUUUAGCAGAGAGAAUGAACAAGACAUUGAUUGAAAGAGUUAGGUGUAUGCUUUCUGAAGCAAAGUUGCCUAAGCAUUUCUGGGGUGAAGCAUUGUACACGGCAGUGCAUGUUAUUAAUCUGAGUCAUGCAGUUGCUUUGAAUGUUGAGGUGCCAGACAAGAUUUGGUUUGGCAAGAAUGUCAGGUAUGAUCAUUUGCGUGUCUUCGGUUGCAAAGCAUAUGUGCAUGUUCCAAAGGAUGAGAGAUCCAAGUUGGAUGCGAAGACAAGACAAUGCAUCUUUAUCGGUUAUGGUCAGGAUGAAUUUGGCUACAAGUUGUAUGAUCCAGUUGAGAAGAAAGCUGUUAGAAGCCGUGAUGUGAAGUUCAUGGAAGACCAAACGAUUGAAGACAUUGAUAGGAUGGAGAAGACUACACCUGAGAUUGAUAAUGGUUUGUCUGAUGUUGAUCCAGUUCGGAUGCCUAUACAUGAUCUGGAUACUGCUGAAAAUAAUGUUCAGAAUGAUGAGCAACAUGGUGAUGUUGGUGAUCAGCAGCUUGGAGAUGAUUUUGAUGUUCCUAAUGAUGAUGCUGAAGAAGAACAUGAGAUGUCACAAGAUGAGGAUCUUGGUGAUGCUCCUGAACCACCUCAAGCUCAAGUUUGGAGGUCUACUAGGCAGAGGAAACCAUCCACCAGGUAUCCUUCUGAUGACUAUGUUACCUUGACUGAUGGAGGCGAACCUGAAUGUUAUGAUGAAGCCAUGGAGAGUGAUGAAAAGAAGAAGUGGUUGGAUGCUAUGCAAGAUGAAAUGAAGUCUUUGCAUGAUAAUCACACUUUUGAUUUGGUGAAACUACCUAAGGGAAAGAAGGCUUUGGAAAACAGGUGGAUCUUCAGAGUGAAGCAAGAAAGCAAUUCUACAUCUCCAAGAUAUAAAGCCAGAUUAGUUGUGAAAGGUUUCAGACAGAGAAAGGGUGUUGAUUUCAAUGAGAUUUUUUCUCCUGUGGUGAAGAUGUCAUCCAUUAGAACUGUGUUGAGUUUGGCUGCUACUCUUGAUUUGGAGGUAGAGCAAAUGGAUGUAAAAACUGCUUUCCUUCAUGGUGAUUUGGAGGAAGAGAUUUACAUGAAGCAACCUGAUGGUUUUCUUGUUAAAGGCAAAGAAGACUAUGUGUGUAGGCUCAGAAAGAGUCUAUAUGGUUUGAAGCAGGCCCCGCGUCAGUGGUACAAGAAGUUUGAGUCAGUUAUGUGUGAGCAAGGCUACAGGAAGACUACUUCUGAUCACUGUGUCUUUGUUAAAAAGUUUGCUGAUGAUGAUUUCAUUAUCUUGUUAUUGUAUGUUGAUGACAUGCUUAUUGUUGGGAAAAAUAUUUCCAUGAUUAUCAGGUUGAAGAAGCAAUUGGGCGAGUCAUUUUCCAUGAAAGACAUGGGAGCUGCUAAGAAGAUUCUUGGUAUAAGAAUCAUGUGUGACAGGAACAAGAAGAAACUUUGGCUGUCACAAGAACACUAUGUUGAAAGAGUAUUACAGAGGUUCCAGAUGGAAAAUGCUAAGGCUGUAAGUACUCCUCUUGCUACUCAUUUUAAAUUGAGUACUAGUCAGAGUCCUCCCAAUGAAGCUGAAAAAUCAGAUAUACAACGAGUUCUUUACGUAUCUGUUGUGGGUAGUUUAAUGUAUGCAAUGGUGUGUACAAGGCCUGAUAUUGCACAUGUUGUUGGUACAGUUAGUAGAUUUCUGUCUAAUCCAGGUAGAGAGCAUUGGAAUGCUGUGAAAUGGAUUUUGAGGUAUCUUCGUGGUACUACCAGUUUGAGGCUUUGUUUUGGAGGUGAUAAGCCUACUCUUGUGGGAUAUACUGAUUCUGAUAUGGCUGGAGACAUUGAUUCCAGAAAGUCUACUUCAGGCUACUUGAUUAAGUUUGCAGGGGGAGCUGUGGCAUGGCAAUCUAGAUUGUAGAGAUGUGUUGCAUUGUCCACUACUGAGGCAGAGUUCAUUGCCAUUACAGAAGCAUGCAAGGACUUGUUAUGGUUGAAGAAAUUCUUGCAGGAGCUUGGUUUUGUUCAAGAUAAGUACUUGCUAUUUUGUGAUAGUCAAGGUGCAAUUCAUCUUGGUAAGAAUUCAUGUUGGUACUUGCCAUUUUGUGAUAGUCAAGGUGCAAUUCAUCUUGGUAAGAAUUCAUGUUGGUACUUGCUAUUUUGUGAUAGUCAAGGUGCAAAACAAAGCCUCAAACUGGUAGUACCACGAAGAUACCUCAAAAUCCAUUUCACAGCAUUCCAGUGCUCUCUACCUGGAUUAGACAGAAAUCUACUAAUUGUACCAACAACAUGUGCAAUAUCAGGCCUUGUACACACCAUUGCAUACAUUAAACUACCCACAGCAGAUGCAUAAGGAACUCGUUGCAUAUCUGAUUUUUCAGCUUCAUUGGUAGGACUCUGACUAGUACUCAAUUUAAAAUGAGUAGCAAGAGGAGUACUUACAGCCUUAGCAUUUUCCAUCUGGAACCUCUGUAACACUCAAUCAACAUAGUGUUCUUGUGACAGCCAAAGUUUCUUCUUGUUCCUGUCACGCAUGAUUCUUAUACCAAGAAUCUUCUUAGCAGCUCCUAAUUGCUUCUUCAACCUGUCAAUCAAGGAAAUAUUUCUCCCAACAAUAAGCAUGUCAUCAACAUACAAUAACAGGAUAAUGAAAUCCUCAUCAGCAAACUUUUUAACAAAGACACAGUGAUCAAAAGUAGUCUUCUUGUAGCCUUGCUCACACAAAAUUGACUCAAACUUCUUGUACCACUGACGCGGGGCCUGCUUCAAACCAUAUAGACUCUUUCUGAGCCUACACACAUAGUCUUCCUUGCCUUUAACAAGAAAACCAUCAGGUUGCUUCAUGUAAAUCUCUUCCUCCAAAUCACCAUGAAGGAAAGCAGUUUUUACAUCCAUUUGCUCUACCUCCAAAUCAAGAGUAGCAGCCAAACUCAACACAGUUCUAAUGGAUGACAUCUUCACCACAGGAGAAAAAAUCUCAUUGAAAUCAACACCCUUUCUCUGUCUGAAACCUCUCACAACUAAUCUGGCUUUAUAUCUUGGAGAUGUAGAAUUGCUUUCUUGCUUCACUCUGAAGAUCCACCUGUUUUCCAAAGCCUUCUUUCCCUUAGGUAGUUUCACCAAAUCAAAAGUGUGAUUAUCAUGCAAAGACUUCAUUUCAUCUUGCAUAGCAUCCAACCACUUCUUCUUUUCAUCACUCUCCAUGGCUUCAUCAUAACAUUCAGGUUCGCCUCCAUCAGUCAAGGUAACAUAGUCAUAAGAAGGAUACCUGGUGGAUGAUUUCCUCUGCCUAGUAGAGCUCCAAACUUGAGCUUGAGGUGGUUCAGGAGCAUCACCAAGAUCCUCAUCUUGUGACAUCUCAUGUUCUUCUUCAGCAUCAUCAUUAGGAACAUCAAAAUCAUCUCCAAGCUCCUGAUCACCAACAUCACCAUGUUGCUCAUCAUUCUGAACAUUAUUUUCAGCAGUAUCCAGAUCAUGUAUAGGCAUCCGAACUGGAUCAACAUCAGACAAACCAUUAUCAAUCUCAGGUGUAGUCUUCUCCAUCUUAUCAAUGUCUUCAAUGGUUUGGUCUUCCAUGAACUUCACAUCACGGCUUCUAACAGCUUUCUUCUCAACUGGAUCAAACAGCUUGUAGCCAAAUUCAUCCUGACCAUAACCGAUAAAGAUGCACUGUCUUGUCUUCGCAUCCAACUUGGAUCUCUCAUCCUUUGGAACAUGCACAUAUGCUUUGCAACCGAAGACACGCAAAUGAUCAUACCUGACAUUCUUGCCAAACCAAAUCUUGUCUGGCACCUCAGCAUUCAAAGCAACUGCAGGACUCAGAUUAAUAACAUGCACUGCCGUGUACAAUGCUUCACCCCAGAAAUGCUUAGGCAACUUUGCUUCAGAAAGCAUACACCUAACUCUUUCAAUCAAUGUCUUGUUCAUUCUCUCUGCUAAACCAUUCAGCUGAGGAGUUUUAGGAGGAGUCUUUUCAUGUCUGAUACCGUGCUGCUUGCAAUAAGAAUCAAAUGGUCCACAAUAUUCACCACCAUUGUCAGUACGAAUGCAUUUGAACUUCUUUCCUGACUGUCUCUCCACCAUAACAUGGAACUCUUUGAAUUUCUCCAGAACUUGGUCUUUUGUCUUCAAAGCAUAGACCCAAAGCUUCCUGGAACAAUCAUCAAUAAAAGUAACAAAGUAAAGUGCACCACUAAAUGACUUUACCUUCAACGGGACACAAACAUCAGAAUGCACCAAUUCAAGCAACUCUGACUUCCUUGAGGGAGCAUGUUUCUUGAAGGAUACUCUAGUCUGCUUACCAGCCAUGCAAUGAGAAUAUUUCUCCAACUCUGAACUCUUUAAUCCCGGAAGUAAAUCCUUUUUAGCUAAAAAAUUCAGCCCCUUUUCACUGAUAUGACUAAGCCUGCGGUGCCACAAAGAAGACUCCAUAUCCAUGGCAUUCACACUGUCUUUAGCAACCAAUGCUUUAGUCCAAUAUAGUUUAUUAAUUUUCUCCCCUCUGGCCACAACUAAGUUACCUCUGGUGAGUUUCUAUUUUCCUGAACCAAAGUGAUUAUCAUAACCACCAUCAUCAAGCAUCUGCACAGAGAUCAAAUUAAAGCGAACAUUUGGAGCAUGUUUGACUCCUCUAAGCAACAACUGCACUCCCAUGUUGGUCUGCAAACAAACAUCACCAAUACCAACUACCUUGGACACACCAUCAUUACCCAUCUUCAACACUCCAAAGUCACCAGAAGUGUAAGAUGUGAAGAACUCCUUCCUUGGUGUAACAUGCAGUGUAGCACCACUAUCAAUAAUCCACAUGCUCUCAUCUGAUACAAGAUUGACUGAGUCAUAGUCACGGAGAAUAAUCAGAUCAUCACAAGUAGCAGUAGUAACACGGUCAUCAUCAUCAUGAUUCUUAUCUCUCUACUUACUGUUAUUGUUUUUGCUCUCCCUUUUCCAUAUGAAGCACGGUCAUCAUCAUCAGAUCAUCACAAGUAGCAGUAGUAACACGGUCAUCAUCAUCAUCAUGAUUCUUAUCUCCCUGUUUGUUCCCUUUCGGCUCCUUUCUUUGACUUCGGCCCCUGUUCUCAGUGACAAGUACCUCGGAAUGAGAUGAAGUACCUUGUGCCUUCCUUCUCAUCUCCUCAUUAAGAACACUUCCUUUUACACUUUGCAAAGAGACAACACCAUCAGAAGCUGAGUUUGUAAUUGAAACCCGAAAAGUUUCCCAAGAAUCUGGUAGAGUAUUCAGUAGCCAUAGUCCCAACACUUCAUCAUCAAAUUUGAUACCCAUACCUGACAAUUGAUCUAGGAGCCCUUGAAAAUCAUUUAAGUGAUCUGAAAUAGAAGUCCCCUCCUUGUACCUCAAAUUCAUCAAGGAGUUCAACAAACACAACUUAUUAUUAUCUGAUUCAGAAGCAUACUAAGAUUCAAUCUUCUUCCACAAGGAUCUUGCAUGUUCCUUAUUAGCAAUGUGAUUAUAAACAUUAUCUUCUACAUAUUGCCGAAUAAAACCACAAACCUGCUGAUGUUCAAAACUCCAAUCCUCAUAAGUCUUGGAUUCUGGCUUCUCACUAGCAAACACAGGAAGAUGCAAAUUCUUCACAAAUAACAGAUCCUUCAUUUUUCCCUUCCAUAAGUGAUAAUUAGUGCCAUUCAAACAAAUCAUUCUAUUUGUAUUUGCCUCCAUCAUUCAAACAAGUCAAACAUCCCCUUAACCAAAGAGCUCUGAUGCCACUCUGAUGGGAAAUUCAGCAACAAAUAACAAUAACAUCUAACAGAGCAAUAUGCAGCGGAUAAUCAAUUUCCCACACUUGCAAGAAUCUGUGAGGAGCAACAACAAAUAAUCACAGCAACUAAAAUCACUACCACAAAUGACACAAUAAUUUCAGUGUGAGAAGUAAACAACCACGGGACCAAGCCAGUAAUAGAGCUCCACUAUGAUCAAAAUAUGGGUACAAGAGAGUUUCAAAUAUGCACAAAUUCGUGCUCAGUAACCAGACAAAAAUCAGCAAGGUAACCAGCACAACAAUCGGCCAAAACAUUGAGAAAACAAGCAUGAAAUUGAGAACAAAGUUCAACAGAAAAACUAGGAAAAACAGCUACUGUCCGAGCUCAAUAUCUCCCACCUCAGACCUCUGAUCGACGAUCCAACCGGUCAGAUUGAAGUACCAUGAGGCACGAAGCUGCGGUCCAAAUUUCAGCCCGAUCCGACGGUGAAAGAAAGAGAAAUCGCGAAUCUAGUGCAGCUGCUCUGUUUUAUGCGAAAAUGGGUUUUGCUCUUCCUCUCUCACUUUUCUCUUUGCCUCACUCUCUAAAUUCAGCUCUCUCUCCCACUAAUCUGACCUCUCUCCACUUGGUUAAGUGAGACACAUGGGGUUGCACAUAUUGGGCCUUUCUCCACAUAGGAAGGGAGCCCAAAACCCAACAAUACACUGAUCCAUUAAGUUGGACAAACUUAUUUUAAGUUCAAGAAGUUUACUAUCGAAAAGUUGUUAGAAGCUUUUCCUCAAGAUUUUAAGGAUAAAGAUCUUCUCAAAUUUAAGGAUAAGCUCGAGUUCAAAAUACUUUUGAGCGUGUUGAUGCAGUUUUACUUAUUCAUAUAUUUGUAAAAAUCUCUCAAAGUAUUUCCAUUGUGAAAAUCUUUCAAAACAUAAACUUUUAUAAAAAUCUCUCAAAGUAUUUUAAGUUCAAAGUAUUUGUAAAAAUCUUUCAAAACAUAAACUUUUAUUGUUUCUAGCAACCUUUAAAUACAAUAAAUUAAUAAUUUGAAAUUAAUAAAAAUAAAACUAUCCAUAUAUAAAUUUAUAACAACCCAUUAUUAAUUAGUAAUUUGUAACAAUCCAAAACCUCACAUAAUUACUAUAAUUAAAAAUCAUAACGAUAUAAUGAUCAAUAAUAUUAAUAGAUUUACCUGGAUCUCUUGAGAUGGUAACAAGCUGGCUCACUUAGCAGCAACUUUAGCUGAAUCUGUGGACAGUCUCCCCUCCAGAUGUGAUUCAAUUAAUAGAGCUGCUAAGGACAACAGCACGAGCAAUAAAUAGAUCUCAGAUCAGAAGGAUCUGCACCUGCUGUUGGUUUAUUCUCCACCUUGUCUGGUGCAUCUCAAAUCCCUCACUGGUUCUGGUUUCGGUGCCACCGUUGCUGGCCUUACGUAAAUAUUUUGUUUUGCUUUCCAGAGGUUGUUAUCUCGUUUGGUGUUUUGAGUGGUUGGUAUUGCAAAACUUUUCAUGAGUUUAAAGAAUCUCUUUGUCUCUACUUUACUGUCACCGUUUGAGCUGUUGAUGGGAUUACUUUAUGCAUGUGGAGCUUAUCAAAUUCAAUGCUUCCAUGUGUUUACAUUGUCUUUAUGAGUUUUAGUAUAUUAUUAUUAUGUUCGUGGUCCAACAUGACUACACGGUUUUUUUUACCCUUUAUGGGUGUUAGAUGUAGCACUU